rnacentral:rRNA from 1 species
GACGAACGCUGGCGGCGUGCUUAACACAUGCAAGUCGAACGGAAAGGCCCUGCUUUUGUGGGGUGCUCGAGUGGCGAACGGGUGAGUAACACGUGAGUAACCUGCCCUUGACUUUGGGAUAACUUCAGGAAACUGGGGCUAAUACCGGAUAGGAGCUCCUGCUGCAUGGGGGGGGUUGGAAAGUUUCGGCGGUUGGGGCUGGACUCGCGGGUUAUCAGCUUGUUGGUGGGGUAGUGGCUUACGAAGGCUUUGACGGGUAGCCGGCCUGAGAGGGUGACCGGCCACAUUGGGACUGAGAUACGGCCCAGACUCCUACGGGAGGCAGCAGUGGGGAAUCUUGCACAAUGGGCGGAAGCCUGAUGCAGCAACGCCGCGUGCGGGAUGACGGCCUUCGGGUUGUAAACCGCUUUCGCCUGUGACGAAGCGUGAGUGACGGUAAUGGGUAAAGAAGCACCGGCUAACUACGUG